GGGCCCGCACAAGCGGAGGAGCAUGUGGUUUAAUUCGAUGAUACGCGAGGAACCUUACCUGGGCUUGAAAGUUAGUGAAUGCCGUAGAAACAUGGCAGCAAGCAAUUGCACGAAACUAGGUGCUGCAUGGCUGUCGUCAGCUCGUGCCGUGAGGUGUUGGGUUAAGUCCCGUAACGAGCGCAACCCCUACUAUUAGUUGCCAACAGGUCAUGCUGGGGACUCUAAUAGGACUGCCCGCGCAAGCGGUGAGGAAGGUGGGGAUGACGUCAAGUCAUCACGGCCCUUACGUCCAGGGCUACACACGUGCUACAAUGGUCGGUACAAUGGGCAGCCACAUGGCAACAUGGAGCUAAUCCUUAAAACCGGUCUCAGUUCGGAUUGAGGUCUGCAACUCGACCUCAUGAAGCUGGAUUCGCUAGUAAUCGUACAUCAGCAAUGGUACGGUGAAUACGUUCCCGGGCCUU
rnacentral:rRNA from 1 species